GAACGCACAUUGCGCCCGCCAGUAUUCUAGCGGGCAUGCCUGUCCGAGCGUCAUUUCAACCCUCAAGCCCUGCUUGGUGUUGGGGCCCUACGGCUGCCGUAGGCCCUGAAAUGAAGUGGCGGGCUCGCUACGACUCCGAGCGCAGUAAUUCGUUAUCUCGCUAGGGAGGUGUGGCGUGCUCCUGCCGUUAAAGACCCCAUCUUUAACCAAAGGUUGACCUCGGAUCAGGUAGGAAUACCCGCUGAACUUAAG
rnacentral:misc_RNA from 1 species